UUAUAACCAAAAAAAAAAAAAUUAAUAUAUAUUUUAAUAUAUAUAUAAAAAAACAACUUUCAACAACGGAUCUCUUGGCUCUCGCAUCGAUGAAGAACGCAGCGAAUUGCGAUAAGUAAUGUGAAUUGCAGAAUUACGUGAAUCAUCGAAUCUUUGAACGCAUAUUGCACUCUCUGGUAUUCCGGGGAGUAUGCCUGUUUGAGGGUCAGUAAAUAAUAAUUAUCAUAAUCUUUUGAUUGUGGAAUUGGGCCUUUAUUUCAUUUUAAUGAUUUAUGGCCUUAAAUUUAUGUUACCGCUUGUUUAAUAUGAAAUUCGACCGAAUGGAGCAAUUAAACAUUCUCUCGUUAGGCGGAUUCAUCAAGCAAUUACGAUUUUUUGGCCGUCGGAGCACUUUUUUUUAAAAGUGCUUGGUCUCGAUUGUAAGAUACAUUUAACAAUGACCUCAAAUCAGGCAAGAAUACCCGCUGAACUUAAGCAUAUCAAUAAGCGGAGGAA
rnacentral:rRNA from 1 species